rnacentral:rRNA from 1 species
UACGUAGGGUGCAAGCGUUGUCCGGAUUUAUUGGGCGUAAAGAGCUCGUAGGCGGCUUAGUAAGUCGGGUGUGAAACCUCCAGGCUCAACCUGGAGACGCCACUUGAUACUGCUAUGGCUAGAGUUCGGCAGGGGACCACGGAAUUCCUGGUGUAGCGGUGAAAUGCGCAGAUAUCAGGAGGAACACCGAUGGCGAAGGCAGUGGUCUGGGCCGAUACUGACGCUGAGGAGCGAAAGCGUGGGGAGCGAACAGG